CGCCUCUUGAUAGCUAUAAGAGGUCCAGCCUGCCCAGUGAUAAAUUCAACGGCCGCGGUAUCCUAACCGUGCGAAGGUAGCAUAAUCACUUGUUCUUUAAAUAGGGACUCGUAUCAACGGCAUCACGAGGGUUACACUGUCUCCUCUUUCCAAUCAGUGAAACUGAUCUUCCCGUGAAGAAGCGGGAAUGAACUAAUAAGACGAGAAGACCCCAUGGAGCUUUAAACCUCACAGCAACUCUAACAUAUAUUUCCCCAUAACCCGCAGAGCAAUGCUAGUCGGUUUUAGGUUGGGGUGACCGCGGAGCAAAAACUACCCUCCACGACGAACAGAACUAAAUCUUUAUCCAAGAGCAACCACUCUAAGAACUAGCACACUAACGUAUCAUGACCCGAUAAUYGAUCAACGGACCAAGUUACCCUGGGGAUAACAGCGCAAUCUGCUUCAAGAGCCCAUAUCGACAAGCAGGCUUACGACCUCGAUGUUGGAUCAGGGUACCCCAGUGGUGCAGCCGCUACUAACGGUUCGUUUGUUCAACGAUUAAAACCCU
rnacentral:rRNA from 1 species